rnacentral:rRNA from 1 species
GUAGGGAAUAUUGGGCAAUGGAUGCAAGUCUGACCCAGCCAUCCCGCGUGCCGGAAGAAGGCCCUCAGGGUUGUAAACGGCUUUUGAUGGUGAAGAAUCGACAGGAUGCGUCCUGUUUUGACGGUAGCCGUUGAAUAAGCACCGGCUAACUCCGUGCCAGCAGCCGCGGUAAUACGGAGGGUGCGAGCGUUGUCCGGAUUUAUUGGGUUUACAGGGUGCGUAGGCUGGAAGGUCAGUCAGCGGUGAAAAGCUGUCGCUUAACGAUAGUCUUGCCGCAGAUACUUCCUUUCUUGGAUGAGGAGGAGGCCACUGGAACGGAUGGUGUAGCGGUGAAAUGCAUAGAUAUCAUCCAGAACACCGAUUGCGAAGGCAGGUGGCUGUACCUUAAUCGACGCUGAUGCACGAAAGCAUGGGGAGCAAACAGGAUUAGAAACCCCAGUAGUCC